rnacentral:lncRNA from 1 species
UCUAAUCCAGUUCCCUAAGUCGAAGUUCAGAAGCCCAAAUUAUACUCUAACUUUUCUUCCAAAGUAAGUGCGAAAUCUCUUCACAUUGCAAUGCAGCUGCACUGCUGUCUUCAGGAUGGGCGUCCGGGAGAAUCCUUUCUCCCUGCCCUGCUCCCCUUGCGCUGACUUUCAACGCAUCCUGAUUUAAUAAUAGUUAGCAAGAAUUUCGGUCGUUGAUAACAGUAAAUAACAUUGAAAUUCUGCUAAAAUAACUGCAUGUGCAUUUAAGGAAAAAAGUAGAACGAAGGCAAGAAUCCCUAACUCCCACAUUAGAUGCUGCUACCAAACCAGCUAUACCACAAGCUAUUAAAAGUGAAUUUGGAUCUCGGUUAUUUAUUCUCUCUCAGACUCACCAAUUAUAUUAUAAACCUGCACAUUUCCUUAUAUACAAUUAAUUAUUUAUUUGUAUAAUUAUUUAUUUAUAUAUUUAUAUAAACAUAUACCUUGAAUUGGGAUUGUAACUCGGAGUCAACAUCCUUUUGGUGGAGAAAUGCCUUCCACUGCACCAGGCACGCUGCAUGCCUUUCACGCAAGCAAACUGCUCGCAUUCACCCACGUU